rnacentral:rRNA from 1 species
UUUUGUUUGGAGAGUUUGAUCCUGGCUCAGGACGAACGCUGGCGGCGUGCUUAACACAUGCAAGUCGAACGGAAAGGCCCUUUCGGGGGUACUCGAGUGGCGAACGGGUGAGUAACACGUGGGUGAUCUGCCCUGCACUUUGGGAUAAGCCUGGGAAACUGGGUCUAAUACCGAAUAUACCCUGCUGGUCGCAUGGCCUGGUGGGGGAAAGCUUUUG